rnacentral:rRNA from 1 species
AGAAUCAACGCUGGCGGCGUGCCUCAGACAUGCAAGUCGAACGCGAAAGUCCCCUUCGGGGGCGAGUAGAGUGGCGCACGGGUGAGUAACACGUAGGUAAUCUACCUUUGGAUGGGGAAUAACAACCGGAAACGGUUGCUAAUACCGCAUAAUGCAGCGGCACCUAAUGGUGACAGUUGUUAAAGCGGGGGAUCGAAAGACCUCGCGUCUGAAGAGGAGCCUGCGGCGGAUUAGGCUAGUUGGUAAGGUAAUGGCUUACCAAGGCUACGAUCC